CAGUUGAGGGCCCUCUGGGUCCACCUCCCACCCGUGUUUAUUUUACCUUGUUGCUUCGGCGGGCCCGCCUUAACUGGCCGCCGGGGGGCUUACGCCCCCGGGCCCGCGCCCGCCGAAGACACCCUCGAACUCUGUCUGAAGAUUGUAGUCUGAGUGAAAAUAUAAAUUAUUUAAAACUUUCAACAACGGAUCUCUUGGUUCCGGCAUCGAUGAAGAACGCAGCGAAAUGCGAUACGUAAUGUGAAUUGCAAAUUCAGUGAAUCAUCGAGUCUUUGAACGCACAUUGCGCCCCCUGGUAUUCCGGGGGGCAUGCCUGUCCGAGCGUCAUUGCUGCCCUCAAGCACGGCUUGUGUGUUGGGCCCCGUCCUCCGAUCCCGGGGGACGGGCCCGAAAGGCAGCGGCGGCACCGCGUCCGGUCCUCGAGCGUAUGGGGCUUUGUCACCCGCUCUGUAGGCCCGGCCGGCGCUUGCCGAUCAACCCAAAUUUUUAUCCAGGUUGACCUCGGAUCAGGUAGGGAUACCCGCUGAACUUAAGCAUAUCAAUAAGCGGAGCGCACCUU
rnacentral:rRNA from 1 species